GGGCUUGUGGUUUAGUGGUAUAAUACUCCCUUAGCAUCAUACGGUUUUCAAGAUCGUCAACCGCUUGGGAGUGGUCCGGGGUUCGAUUCCCCGCGAGUCCA